CUAGAUGGUUUAAUUUUAUUUUUGGCAGUGAAACAAGGCUACUGUCAUGGCUGUUGAAGGAACUGGACCAAGGUGCAACGUGGUGUCCUCCAUGAAACCUGUAGAGAUUAAGACCCAAUGCUCAGGCACUCGCAUGGACCCCAAGAUCUCCUCUGGGGAACCCCCCCUUCUUGGCCUUUAUCAACAACAAUGACCUGUGGGUGGUCAGCAUUGAGACCGGGGAGGAGAGGAGACUCACCUACUGCCAUAAAGGGCUUAGUUUGACUGCUUCACGGGCUACUGAUGGACGCCAGCUGCUCCUGAAG